GUGCUCGCUUUGGCAGAACAUAUACUAAAAUUGGAACGAUACAGAGAUUAGCAUUGCCUCUGAGCAAGGAUGACACACAAAUUCGUGAAGCACUCCAUAUUAAA
ensembl:snRNA U6 U6 spliceosomal RNA